rnacentral:lncRNA from 1 species
UCAAAGCUGCAGGGAUUAAGAAAAUACUGAAAUUUAGGCCCUGAACUGAUCAAGCAUGGGAAUGACUGAUGACGUGAGAGCAAAGCCAAGGGCAGAGUAUAGUGAAUCACAGUAGAAGAAAUGCACAUAACAUACUUAUUGUUUCAAGAGGUUUGGCCAUAAAGAUACAGAAAAAAGUAGUGAAAAUGGGAAGGGAUGGAGGGCAGAUUUUUUUCACAGACAGGAGAGGGUGAGAAGAUACCACAGGCAGAGGUCCUUGAGGAGACAUAAAAUGAGAUAAACUCCAGAAAAAAGAAAGGAAGUGAUGACUGGGAAUGUGUAAAAACCUAGGUAAGAAAGUGAAGGAUCUAGUGUGAUCACAUGUAGAGAAAGGGGAAGAAAAAUGGUGAGAAUUGAAGAUCUCAGGCAAGCAGAGCAGUUUGAAACAGCUCCUGAGGAAAACAGGAGAGAACAGCAGCCAGGGAAAUGCAGAAGGGUUAGUACGUAACAGGGAGGUUAGAUAUCAAUUUAUACUGAUUGUUUGAUUUCCUCAGAAGCUGUGUGUAGAGUUAAGGAGAAGGAAAUAGCUGGGGUGGUUUCUAUUUGGAAUUUUGCCAGAUGGGUGUGAUAGAAUGCGGAGGAACAGGAAAAUUUAUUGUACUACAGGUAAUAAUCAUAGGAAUAAUAAGAUUAUGGAGUCUAAACCGAAUAAUGAAGGCUACGCCAGCAGGAGGUACUGACUACUAAAGAAAUGAGAAAAGAUGAAAGUCUUAAUGAGACAGCAACAGCGAGAACAGCUCAGAGAGCAGCGUUAAAGGAUCUCACUAUGGAGCCCAUGAUCUUCCUGCCUCAGCCUUCAAGGUACUACCAUUCCAGGUGGCAUCCAUUUUUUAAUGUGAGCAAGCUAGCCAAUGUGCUGUUACGACUUCUGUGUAAGCCCCCAGUCCUACGACAGAAGCAUAAACAAAACGGUCAAAUGGGCAAUGGCGAGACGCCGAGGAGAGGUAACACCAGCACCCCUGCGGUAGACAUGAGAUGCACCACCCAGAUGGGCCUUCGAAGAAGGAUGAGGAGUGAACAGAUGACUGUCUGCCCUCCAGGAGUCAGCUCAGACGCAGACAUUCACAGCCUUCACCGGGCAGCCUGUAUCUGGUACCUGAACAAGCGACAGCACAAGGCUCAGCCAUCCCACCAGACGUGGGAUCUUCUCACGAGCACACCCCGCCUCUCCCCGUUUGCUGAGGUCUUGUCAAGGCUGCGUUUCAGUCUGACUCCUACUUCUGCCCAACUUUGCUUCCCUCACUUCCUGUCACAUUACUGACCCCUAAUAAAUAUUUUCUGCAGUGAACUCUCUCUUGACCUCUGCUUUUGGAUAGUCAAAAUACUCAAAUAAUGAACACACUGGCAAACCACUCCCUGGGUAACCAGAAGUUAUAUUCAUCCUGAGUCAUGCCAAAUUUUGGUCUCUUUUCUGUCUUACUCUUUUCUGUCUUCUCUCUUACUUAGUUGUCUUACAAAAGGAAGAAGAGACUCCAAAAGCAGCUUUAGAAAGCGAGUUACAUCGAUGACAUAAGGCAACAUUCCGUGAAAUCAAGUGGCAGGGCCUUUGACUGUCAACCCUCAGGCUCAGUAGAAGCUGUAAGUGCAGCACCCCAAAAAGCCAGCCCCCCACCCCCCCACCCCCCCCCUCCCGGCA